AAACAUGUGGCGGCACUCGGCAAUAAUGUAUAUCGCCGAAACGAAGUGCCUAAUGAGCCAUCAAUAUCCCAACGGUCCUUCCGCUGAAUGGUCGAGAAGAAGGCGUGCGUGGCAACGGUCGCGGACGCCUAACAAACGCGUGGAUAGUGGGAAUAUUGAGGGACGACAAAAAGAAAAGAAUCGAAUCCGAUCGAUAGUUAAGUUUGAACCAGGAAGCGAUAAAUGUCGAGUUGUAACCGCGCAGUUAGAUUGACUAGCGAAACCGAGAGCGAUACGCGACGCGAUCAAAAGAAGACACUUGUUAAUAAAUAUAUUGUUGACCCGAACACCCGAGUGAUUAUUUAACGCACUAUACCCAACACCACCUCAAACAUUUUGUUCUAUGUGGUACUCAAAAAGUUAUUAACGAUCAUUUUCUACGAUUUAACUGCAAUUACCUGAUUUUUGGAUUGCUCUGCUGUGAAUACACCGAGUGUAAGAAUAAGGAGCAAGGAAAACUAUUGAGAUACAGGGAAGCACUUCGCAGAAUUCACAUUUAGACAGACCGGCUUAAAAAAUAGAGAUUGAUUUAAUCCUCGUACUGCAAUGCCCGGAUGGGAUCUCUUUCGACUAAUCGACUUCGACUUCGAGAACGACUUCGAGAGCGCGCAGGGACAUAAAAUGAUCGGGCGAAAGCGCGAAGUUCGCUUUCUCAACGAUCGUCUUAUUGUUACGUCUCCCUAUUGUUUGUCAAAUUUAAAGUCCUCCGACGACAAUCAAACCGCUCUGUGUUCUCGCCUAAUUAUACUUCUGACGACAACUCAUAGGUAGAGAGCGACGUUUGAUCGUAGUAGUAAGCGUACACG
rnacentral:misc_RNA from 1 species